UUAUUUCCUGGGUAGCGCGUGGGCGAGUCGCAAGCGCACACAGGGCAGCGGUCUGGGAACCUGCGCCCCGCCUGCGCGCUGCGCACACCUGAGCCGCGGCGGCGCCCCUGCCCCCUCACCUAGGGCUGGUGGGGCGGGGUCUGCAGGCCGGGGGUGCACCGCGCGAGUUAAACCUCAGCUCGAACCUUAGCUGCGCGCAGUACCCAACCCCUUUAUCUCCCCCGCCCCCUCUUCCCCACUUCCUGCCGGGCUUUUAACUCGGGAUUGGCGGCGCGGCACAGACUGUAAACACGCCGCGCCUGCGGGGGAGGAGGCAGGUUCUGUUUGGGCCCCCGGGGGAAGGGCGAACUCCCCUCCCCGAGGCUGGUGAUCAGGCCCUUCCCCACUCCCCAAAGACCGAAGCCGGAGACCGGGGAGAGAGCGUCUGCGGCCGCUGUCGAUGAUCCGGGGGGCUCACCUGUCCUGGAGCACACACCGAAGUCCGGGUCCAUGACACGGCUGGCGGAAAGGAGGGCAGUUGGCUGGAUUAAGAACCUGAACUCUGGCACUGGGCAGACCCGGAUUCCUGGCAGGGAGAACUAUGCCCCGUGGCAAAUUAAAAAGAAGAAAAGACUAAAGACAAUUCCUGUCUAUCCCUGCUUUGCCAAGAGUUUUUUCCCCCCUAUUAUAAUAGAUGUGGACUUACUUCAAAUGCUUUUUUGGCAUCUGUUGAUGAUAUCACACAGUUGUCUUCCUUUAAUCUGUUGGUGUGAUGAAUUACAUUGACUUUUUUCAAAAUAAUAAACUUAACCAUGCACUUUGGCCUAAGGCAGCUCAAUCACAAUAUAUAUUUCUAGGAUUAGUUUGCUAUUAACUUGCUUAAAAUUUUGCAUCCAUGUUCAUAAGUUUAAUGAUCUUUUUAUAUACUGUUCUUGUUGGGUUUUGGAAUCAGUGUUAUUACACGUGAGUAGAGAAUUGGACUUCCUUUAUAUAUUCUUUGGAAGAGUUUGUGUAAGAAUGAAAACAAUUCUUUCAGAAAUGUUUCAUAGAGCUCUUUGCUUGUUCGCUGUUGAGGAGUACCCCAUUAUGGGAAUAAUAGUAGAGACAGGAGUGAAAGUAACUUGAACAAUACAGAAAAUAUGUUAUUUCACUCAUAAAAAGUCAGAGGUAGGGAGUUCAGGAUUGGUUAAUUCAGCAGCUUAAUAGCAUUAUCAAGGAGGGGAAUUCUUU